GGAUGCGAUCAUACCAGCACUAAAGCACCGGAUCCCAUUAGAACUCUGAAGUUAAGCGUGCUUGGGCGAGAGUAGUACUAGGAUGGGUGACCUCCUGGGAAGUCCUCGUGUUGCAUUCC
rfam:Triticum aestivum genome assembly, contig: Triticum_aestivum_CS42_TGACv1_scaffold_426141_5BS